rnacentral:rRNA from 1 species
AGCCAUGCCGCGUGUGUGAAGAAGGCCUUCGGGUUGUAAAGCACUUUCAGUUGUGAGGAAGGUGGUGUCGUUAAUAGCGGCAUCAUUUGACGUUAGCAACAGAAGAAGCACCGGCUAACUCCGUGCCAGCAGCCGCGGUAAUACGGAGGGUGCGAGCGUUAAUCGGAAUUACUGGGCGUAAAGCGCAUGCAGGUGGUUUGUUAAGUCAGAUGUGAAAGCCCGGGGCUCAACCUCGGAACUGCAUUUGAAACUGGCAGACUAGAGUACUGUAGAGGGGGUAGAAGUUUCAGGUGUAGCGGUGAAAUGCGUAGAGAUCUGAAGGAAUACCGGUGGCGAAGGCGGCCCCCUGGACAGAUACUGACACUCAGAUGCGAAAGCGUGGGGAGCAAACAGGAUUAGAUACCCUGGUAG